rnacentral:rRNA from 1 species
UACGUAGGGGGCAAGCGUUGUCCGGAAUUAUUGGGCGUAAAGCGCGCGCAGGCGGUCAUGUAAGUCUGGUGUUUAAUCCCGGGGCUCAACCCCGGAUCGCACUGGAAACUGCGUGACUUGAGUGCAGAAGAGGAGAGUGGAAUUCCACGUGUAGCGGUGAAAUGCGUAGAGAUGUGGAGGAACACCAGUGGCGAAGGCGACUCUCUGGGCUGUAACUGACGCUGAGGCGCGAAAGCGUGGGGAGCGAACAGG